rnacentral:piRNA from 1 species
AAACGCAUAAGUCCGACCCUGUAUCGAC